rnacentral:tRNA from 1 species
GGGGUUGUGGCUCAGAGUUAGAGCACUUGCCUAGCAUGCAGGAGACACUGGAUUGGAUCCUCAGUACCA